UCAAACCCAAUUACACCCCUAACCCCUAUAACUACUUAACCCUUAGGAUUCUGUAUUAUUGGUUUUAGGUUGGGGCGACCACGGAGUACAACAAAACCUCCACAAUGAACGGAACUACUUCCUCAUCUGAGAGCUACAUCUCUAAGAAUUAAAAUAUUAACAUAAAAUGAUCCAUUUUUGAUCAAUGAACCAAGUUACCCUGGGGAUAACAGCGCAAUCCAUUUCAAGAGCCCCUAUCGACAAA
rnacentral:rRNA from 1 species